GAUGAACGCUGGCGGCGUGCCUAAUACAUGCAAGUCGAGCGAACAGAUGAGGAGCUUGCUCCUCUGACGUUAGCGGCGGACGGGUGAGUAACACGUGGAUAACCUACCUAUAAGACUGGGAUAACUUCGGGACACCGGAGCUAAUACCGGAUAAUAUAUUGAACCGCAUGGUUCAAUAGUGAAAGACGGUUUUGCUGUCACUUAUAGAUGGAUCCGCGCCGCAUUAGCUAGUUGGUAAGGUAACGGCUUACCAAGGCAACGAUGCGUAGCCGACCUGAGAGGGUGAUCGGCCACACUGGAACUGAGACGCGGUCCAGACUCCUACGGGAGGCAGCAGUAGGGAAUCUUCCGCAAUGGGCGAAAGCCUGACGGAGCAACGCCGCGUGAGUGAUGAAGGUCUUCGGAUCGUAAAACUCUGUUAUUAGGGAAGAACAAAUGUGUAAGUAACUAUGCGCGUCUUGACGGUACCUAAUCAGAAAGCCACGGCUAACUACGUG
rnacentral:rRNA from 1 species